rnacentral:rRNA from 1 species
UGCAGUCGAACGGACCCUUCGGGGUUAGUGGCGGACGGGUGAGUAACACGUGGGAACGUGCCUUUAGGUUCGGAAUAGCUCCUGGAAACGGGUGGUAAUGCCGAAUGUGCCCUUCGGGGGAAAGAUUUAUCGCCUUUAGAGCGGCCCGCGUCUGAUUAGCUAGUUGGUGAGGUAAUGGCUCACCAAGGCGACGAUCAGUAGCUGGUCUGAGAGGAUGACCAGCCACAUUGGGACUGAGACACGGCCCAAACUCCUACGGGAGGCAGCAGUGGGGAAUCUUGCGCAAUGGGCGAAAGCCUGACGCAGCCAUGCCGCGUGAAUGAUGAAGGUCUUAGGAUUGUAAAAUUCUUUCACCGGGGACGAUAAUGACGGUACCCGGAGAAGAAGCCCCGGCUAACUUCGUGCCAGCAGCCGCGGUAAUACGAAGGGGGCUAGCGUUGCUCGGAAUUACUGGGCGUAAAGGGCGCGUAGGCGGACAUUUAAGUCAGGGGUGAAAUCCCAGAGCUCAACUCUGGAACUGCCUUUGAUACUGGGUGUCUUGAGUGUGAGAGAGGUAUGUGGAACUCCGAGUGUAGAGGUGAAAUUCGUA